GUUAAGUUAGUUUAAGUAAAAUAUCAACCUGUGGAGUUGAAGAUGAGUGUAAUUUACUUAACC
rnacentral:tRNA from 1 species